UAAGGAAAUAUGAGGCACACUUGGUUUUUGUUUAGUUUUGAGAGAUCAUUCUGAUCUUUCAUUAAAUAUGUUAGAUAAUAGACAUAGGAGUAAAAAUGCACCUAGCAUUUUAUUAUCCUGUGCUUUAUGUUCCUUGAAAACUAGAUAACGAUAACAAUUCAAGUAAUUCACUGAGUUUAAAUGCUUAGUUUAGUGAUUUUCUUAAUAAUUGAUUUAAAUGACAUUUUUAAUGUCAAA
rnacentral:misc_RNA from 1 species